AUUCAAGUCACCUGGAUAUCUUAUAAAAAUGCAGACUCUAAUUCAGCACGUCUGGGGUGGGGCCUGAGAGUCUGCAUUUCUAACGGGCUCCCAAGUGAUGCCGAU
rnacentral:pre_miRNA from 1 species